rnacentral:tRNA from 1 species
GGGGCCUUAGCUCAGCUGGGAGAGCGCGACACUGGCAGUGUCGAGGUCACCGGUUCGAUCCCGGUAGGCUCCA